CGAGCAAGCUGCUACGAGGUUUCUAGAGGUGGACAAUGAGUUUCACAUCACCGGAUCGGCAAGUGCAGCUGCGUACAGUGGUGGAAUUCCAGGUGACGAAAGGAAGAAUAAUUAAAAUCUGGGCACACACAGUUUGCACUAUCAAACUCUGCAGCUAAUGGAGGCAUUACCAAUUCAUCAGAUACCAGAGGGAGGAGGUGAAGAUACAGGAGUGGGUGAGUUGCCAGAAAUCUAAAUGACUAAGUUUGAAGCUGGCUGCGCAGUGCAGUGUGAUUGUUGAUGAGUUUAUUGGUGCACGGAGAUCAUCUAAUACAAUCAUCAUAGGUGAGGCAUCGAGCAGGUGCAUUGGAGCAAAUUAGGAUGAUUGAUAUGAUUCUCAACAUGUCAGUGCAUUCGGAUGUGCGGAUAAUGUAUCCAGAAGUCUCUUAAUGACUGCCUUCUAUGCAAUGAAAAUUCUGGAAUACUGUGAUGGUAAAGGCCAUGGCUGCCUAAAGACUAAUAUAAAUCUGGCACGAUCAGCUGGGAUGAGGGAUGAGAUGCUGCAUUACCGAUGAGCUUCUCUAGUUUAGUAUUGAAGGGUUCCCCUUCCAUUUAAAUAUUUAUCUGAAGUAUAGUGUGUGCUAGCUAGAUCAGUGUCCCAGUGCCUCCUUUCAUUGUCCAUCUAUACAUGUUACCCUGUUACACAAAUUAACUUGGUGAACACAUAUGCUGCUAGUAAAGUCAGUCUGUUGUAUUU